GGACAAAGAUGCAUCUUCUGGCCAUUCUUUUGGUUUGCACAGCUCUCUUAUGUGGGACCUACGCCGUAGUAAUUUCAGGUGAUGGUUGUGAUUUACCCCAGAACCAACAAACCCGUCAUUUCGAAGGAUGCAAAACAUACCUCUGCAGAAAUGGAAGAAACCAUUACUACUUCUGUGACAUUGAACUUGAGUGGAGCAAAAUAGGCAUGAGCAGUGACACAUGCAGUUUGGGUUACAACGACACGACAAUCUACCCACACUGUUGUUCGUCAGCAACACUUUUCUGCCAGGGUGAAAGUCUUACGAAGCUUCUAUCAAAGUUUGGAAGCGACUAUGAAAACAUACAAUGGCUAGACUAAACAGAGUCAUGUCAGCAGACCUCUGGAACAGUAACCUCGGUGUGUAACAAAAGCAUAUUAUGUACUUCCACAGUAACAAAAGCAUCAGUAGCCACAACAUUAGAAAAGGAACAGUAUUCAUAAAAGUAACAACAGGUACAGGAGCUGCAACAGUAUUCUCACCAAUGAAAAAAAUCUACUGUAGUCGUAAAAGCAACUAAAGAAACAAGUGGUAAAUAGAAACAACAGUAACAAAAGCAAGAGUAAUCACAACAAAACACCAACGAUAACCACAACAAUAAGGAAAGUAUCAGAACAUAACCACAAAAAGUGAAAAAAAAGCAAAAGAACAGUUAGUAGCUACAUAAUUUGUAACAAAAGCAACAGCAGCCACAACAGUAGCAAUAUAAAUGUAGCAAUAUAACUGUAGCUACAACAAUAACGAAAACAUCUGGCAGCAUUGCACAGAAGUAACAAAAACAUUAGUUACAGGGGUAACAAAAGCAGCAGAACAGAAGUCAGUACAGUAAUAAAAUCACAGCAGCCAAAACAGCACCGAAAGGCAAUAGGCAGUACAACAUAGGAGAAGCUUAAAAUCAUGCACACAUAUAUGAAAACACAAACUCUCUUAAUAAACGGAUUUAUAAUAAACAAUUUUCAACUUGUCGCGUCCAAUGAGUCGUUAUCUAUGCAGUCUUUUACCAAAAUAUUCACAAAUAAAUAGCAUGACAGAUAAUGA